UACGUAGGGUGCAAGCGUUAUCCGGAAUUAUUGGGCGUAAAGAGCUUGUAGGUGGUUUGUCGCGUCUGCUGUGAAAAUCCGAGGCUCAACCUCGGACUUGCAGUGGGUACGGGCAGACUAGAGUGUGGUAGGGGAGACUGGAAUUCCUGGUGUAGCGGUGGAAAUGCGCAGAUAUCAGGAGGAACACCGAUGGCGAAGGCAGGUCUCUGGGCCACUACUGACACUGAG
rnacentral:rRNA from 1 species